GAUGAACGCUGGCGGCGUGCCUAAUACAUGCAAGUCGAGCGAACAGACGAGGAGCUUGCUCCUCUGACGUUAGCGGCGGACGGGUGAGUAACACGUGGAUAACCUACCUAUAAGACUGGGAUAACUUCGGGAAACCGGAUCUAAUACCGGAUAAUAUAUUGAACCGCAUGGUUCAAUAGUUAAAGACGGUUUUGCUGUCACUUAUAGAUGGAUCCGGGCCGCGUUAUCUAGUUGGUAAGGUAAAGGCUUACCAAGGCAACGAUGCGUAGCCGACCGGAGAGGAGGAUCAGCCACACGGGAACUGAGACACGGUCCAGACUCAUACGGGAGGCAGCAGAGGGGAAGAGUGGACAAUGGGCGCAAGCCUGAUCCAGCCAUACCGCGUGGGUGAAGAAGGCCUUCGGGUUGUAAAGCCCUUGUGUUGGGAAAGAAAAGCAGCAGGUUAAUACCCCGCUGUUCUGACGGUACCCAAAGAAUAAGCACCGGCUAACUUCGUG
rnacentral:rRNA from 1 species